GUGACAAGAGCUUCGAGUUGCAGAGUGCGCAGAACACCAGAGUCAGCAUAUGGCUGUCCCUGGCCAGAUUACAGGCAAGCCUCUCUGUGUCCAGACUUAGCGUCUGUCACAAGUGACUCUGUGACCCCGGCUCAAAGGUGACACUCUCACAGACUGGCCUCCGGCAACAUUGGUGAUCAUGCACACCUCAUGUGAGAACAUCCAGAGUUGGAACACAGCUUGAGUAGCUGUGUGGGUAGACGGAGGAGUCCACAUGCCGGGAGGAAGAUGACGUUCUUCACCUGAACUCGGGUACUUUAGGUUUGAAGUUACUGCAUAGCAUUGUGGAUUAUAAAUAUUUCAUUGUUGUCUGCUUUAAAAGUUCUGCAAAACUUGAGUAGACAUCUUAUGCAAUCCAAAUGAACUCAUACUUCAGGCUGGGCUCUCUCUGCAAACGAAGAAGGAUAUAUUUGAGCAUGUACAUAUGGGCAUGGCUUGUGAUGGUAGGGUCUUUAUAACUGAGAAAACAACCACCACACAGAUGCAACCGUCUCCUCGAGCUGAAACUGGAGGUGGGGAACCACAGCUUACCAUCCCACUGCCUACAGGAACCAAUCGUUCGAUCAUGUUAGCUGGGAUGCCACAACGCUUUGAAUAUUCAAAAGGAGGAAGGUAGGACGGUAAUUGCAGAAGACACUGGGCAACGCAUGAGAAACUGACCUGCAGGGAUGGAUUGCAACACGGAGGGAAGGGGAGGUAGAAGAAAGAAAUCAACCUAUAAAUGGUGGUGCAUUAAAUGCUCCUAUGCUGAAGAUCGCCACCCAGUGGGGACACGGGAAAUUCCAACACAGGGUGCCCAGCUGUGACUUCAUGAGGAAGCCUGUGGAUGGGUGAGUCAGGAGAGGAGACAGUGGGGAAGAGUCUAGAAGCACCCAGGGAAGGUGAAGGCACGCCCACUGAAGACUGAGCUGUACUGGUCAUUACCUGAAGGCAAAGGACAGACCCACAAAGAAACAGAGAAAGACUCACAGAGAGGAAGCGCGUUACAUUUUCACAAAGGUGAAAGAAGAUCAAAACAUCCGCUAUCUGUUGGGUUUAACAACAAACAGAGAAGGCAAACUCCUUGGUGAAUAAUAAGUGGCUGGAGAUACAAGAAAAGUGAAACAAGAGCCAGCUGAGGGGCCCCACCCUGACCCGACACCUGCAGGGGCUCAGGGUUCCCGCCCCUGCUCAGAUGGUCAUUGCAAGCCACUUUUCUCCCUAGUGACUCAGUAGAUGCUGUUCUUAAUUAAUGGUUCCGAUUUCUGUUUAACUGGACCACAAUUCUUCAAGGAGGGACCACUGAUCAUGGCCACAAGCUUUAGCAACUCUGUCUUAGCACUUACUCUGUCUUUUCAGAUAAGCCACUUUGGCAGGAGCCCCCGUGGUGUUGCUGAUAGGCAGCAAACAGCAGGCGGAAGAGUUUUGCUCUCUGGCUCUGCCACCACCUUGAUUAGUCAGUGUGCAUUCCUGCCCAAUCUCGUUGGAGUUUGAAUUACACAUUGUUUGCUAAGCCCUAUGCUUGGCCAAAGAGGGACUUAAUGGCACUUAGGAAAAAAGAAAUGAUCAAAUGACACACGGUCUCCAAAGCAUCAUUAUCUCUCUGAUGAGUGACACUUUAAGCCUCACUGUGCUUCUGGGUCCUUUGAUGAUGGCGCUCCCCACACUCACUUGGAUGACAGUUUCUGAGGACUGUGCAUAAAGAAAGCUGGAGAGCCUGGGUUCGUUCACAGCACAAUUUCUGAAAAGAGGGAAGGGGUUUUCUUUGAAGGUGACAAUAAGCUCCAGUUAAUGGUAGCAGACUUCAGUAUACCGAGGGAAAUCCAAACAAGCCCGAAGUGUCACUGAAACAUUUAUACUUUUGUAGUUCCUUUCUAUUUAGGAAAUUAUUUCACUGUAUACUUUUUAAAUCUCAUAGGGAGAAAAAAUAAUUAAGCAUCGAUGGGUGUACUUCUCCAUCUGGUCUUCAGAAAGUAAAUAUU